CGAGAAGGACGCGGUGUUGGAGCUGGCCGGAGUCAGGCAGUGGCCUUGGGCGAGGGGAGGAGACAUUCCGGGCAGUGAAUAGAACAUUCUGUCAUCCUUCCGAAAGGACCAGCAGUGAGUAGCCAUUCCAACUUUGAUCUGGAAGUUCCAACCCCCAUUGAGGCUUCGGCAACUGUCAUGCCUACAAGGCAGGGCCAAGAGAGGACCCUGAAGACCCGAAAUCCGGAUGAGGUCUCUUGGUUCCUGGACCCUGGAUGCUUGAGGCAGACCGAGCAGAGUUCUCCAGAGAACACCGCCAGACUGCACCAUGCCUUUCCCAGAUUCUGUAAACUAUCCAUUCACUUAUGCUGAUGUGUGGCAUGUUCCUCAGAAUUGCAACAUUCUCUCCAAAUUGGAACAUUUGCUGCAGGAAGGAGUGGGAAGGCUCAGGAGCCUCAGGUGAUGAACAGGAGGCAAACAAAAGGUCACAUAUCCGGGAAGAACAGCAGCUUGGAAGUUCUUGAAGGCCCCGAUCUACAAUGUAAACUAAAGUAAACAGUUUCUAGGAGUGGAGACAAUGACCAGACAACUGGAUGAAAAUGUCUGGGCUGCGGAGCUGCCUGCAAAUUACUGUACAAAGAGCCCCAGAGUUGCUGUUUUGGGGAGUCCUCACCCAUGUUGGGGUGGGCUUUCUGGUGGUGCAGCUGCUUUUGAGUUUUCCCUGCUCCUUGUAAGCAACCCCUCACCCAUACUUCUGUUACUAACCUCAAUAAAACAAUCCAUUGGCUCACCAAAUCA